AUUCCGUUCAAACGGGAACGGUGCUUCAUAGCUCCACUAGUGCAUCCUUUCCCUCUCCUAUAAAUACCGUACUAUCCCCUUCGCAACUCACCAUCCAAAUAAACAGUAAUGUUCUAUAGAGAUGCAAGUGCAUAUACAUGAGAAGAUCUCUCAGUAGACUAGCUAGCUACUGGAGAUAGAGAGAAAGUGGGAGAGAAGAUUGGCCGGCCUCUUCUUCGGAGGAAACUUCUUCAGUUCUUGUCUUUGUUUUUUGAUGCUGGGGGGAAGGGAGUGAGGUGGAGGCUGACAGAAGAGAGUGAGCACACAUGGUGCCUUUCUUGCAUGGUGAAUUAAUGGGGGAAGUUCAUGCUUGAAGCUAUGUGUGCUCACUUCUCUCUCUAUUUGUGUGUGUGUGUGUGUGUGUGUGUGUGUGUGUGUGUGUGUGUUGAACUUUUGAUGAUCUCUUUCUUUGAGCUAGCUAAUUCAAUAUGUGAUGUGCACAAGAGAGGUGGGUGCUGUGUGUGGAAGUUGACAGAAGAGAGUGAGCACCCAUGGUGUUUCCUUAGCAUCAAGGGGCAUGCCAGGGAGCUAUGCGUGCUCACUGCUCUAUCUGUCAGCCACUGAUCAGACCCCGUUUCUUGCAUGUAAUCACAUAUCCUAACUAGGGUUUAUGCAGGUCUCCAUGAUCGGCAGCAGAGGGAGGGAGCUGGGCUUUGGAGGUCUGACAGAAGAGAGUGAGCACACGCGGUGGUUUCCUAGCAUGCGAGCGCCAUGCUGGGAGCUGCGCGUGCUCACCCUCUCUCUGUCAGCCAUUCACCAUGCUCAUCUCUCUUCUAUCUGCUGCCAAUCAAUCGACGAACAACCAAAGAGGGCACUGAGAUCCAUGUAAUAUAUGCAGGGAAACUGUAGGUUGUCGUUCUGACUUUCAGAGAGUGGGUUUCAUGGUUCUGUGAGAAGAUUUAGGCCUCAAACUAGAUAGCCUCCAAAUGAAGCUAACCCACUUCUCUCUCUAUCUAGUUGUUAUGCUUAGAUGUCAUGUCUUCUCACAGAACAUGUGUUAACAGCUCUCCGAGAUUGAAUGGAAGUAAUAUUUCCUUUGAAUCUGUAAAUGCGUGAUCUGAAACUUGGUGUACUGUACUCAGAUAGUCCCUGUUAUUUCAUGUACAAAUUUCAGUUUUGUUUUUUUCUAAGAUCUUUUAUUUUCCGCAUUAUAUAUGUCUUUUGUUCUUGCAAUUCAAGCAGGUGCUAAUUUAGAUCCACGCAAAAAAGCUGCUAAUUUAGAUUAGUUUCAGCAAAUAUCCAGCUGUAAAUGGCACGUGCCUAAGUUGAUGUAUAAAUUCUAGUUAAAGUGUAUUAUUUGAUUCUCAUCUA